GUCUACAGCCACACACCUGAACGCGUCCCAGUCUCCUCUGAUAUCCGAAGCUGAGCAGCAUCAGGCCUGGUUAGUACUUGGAUGGAGAGAACGAAGACCGCCUGGGAAAUCCGGGUGCCCAAGACU
rnacentral:rRNA from 1 species